AUGCAGUUAGUCCUCAUUAUUCACAUGCCUUACAUUUGCAGACUGUUUAUUCGUGCCCUCCAAAUCGAUACUUUGUGGUGCUUCCAGGGUCAUUCCCGGACCUGUGCAUGCAGAAAGCAGGGAAAUUUGCUGUGUACAUUCCGAGCGAGGCUGAAAAGAUGGAGUCUUGCUCGGUCGCCCAGGCUGGGGUGGAAUGUCCUGAUCUCGGCUCACUGCAACCUCUGCCUCCCAGGUUCUCGAUUCUCGAUUCUCCCGCCUCAGCCUCCCAAAGGAAAAGCAAUGGAGAACAAAAGGAAGUCCAAAUAA
rnacentral:lncRNA from 13 species